ensembl:snoRNA SNORA70 Small nucleolar RNA SNORA70
CUGUAAAAUACAAACUGUGCCUGUGCAAUGGCUGUAAACAGCGGCUUCCUUGGGAGUGUACCAGCCUGGUUGCCCUAAGGGACCUUGGAGCCAGAC